GCCAGGAUAGCUCAACUGGUAGAGCACCAGACUGUUAAUCUGGCUGUUACAGGUUCGAUUCCUGUUCCAAUCA
rfam:Gimesia maris DSM 8797 1101493009170, whole genome shotgun sequence.